AAUAAGAAGUAAAAAAUUUUACAUUUAGUUUCGACCUAAAAAUUGAUGAAUUAAUCAUCCUUAUUU
rnacentral:tRNA from 1 species